rnacentral:rRNA from 2 species
UAGGGAAUAUUGCGCAAUGGGGGAAACCCUGACGCAGCGACGCCGCGUGAAGGAAGAAGGUCUUCGGAUCGUAAACUUCUUUGACUGGGGACGAAAGUAAUGACGGUACCCAGGGAACAAGCCACGGCUAACUACGUGCCAGCAGCCGCGGUAAUACGUAGGUGGCGAGCGUUGUCCGGAAUUACUGGGUGUAAAGGGCGUGUAGGCGGGAGAGCAAGUCAGAUGUGAAAGCCCAAGGCUCAACUUUGGGACUGCAUCUGAAACUGUUUUUCUUGAGUACUGGAGAGGGAAGCGGAAUUCCUAGUGUAGCGGUGAAAUGCGUAGAGAUUAGGAGGAACACCAGUGGCGAAGGCGGCUUCCUGGACAGAGACUGACGCUGAGGCGCGAAAGCGUGGGUAGCAAACAGG